GUAAGCUGCCCAGUCAUUGCAUAUUCUGGAGCAUGAUAGCCAAAUGUCCCAAGAACACGAGUAGAGUGAAGGCGUGCCGCAUUGUCAGGAGAUUGAUUUGACAGGUCAAAAUCAGCUAUCUUCGCAACAUCAUCAUCAAAAAGUAGUACAUUGCUUGACUUAAUGUCACGGUGAUUAAUGGAUGCUUUCUCAUGUAGGUAUUCAAGACCCUUUGCUGCACCAACGGCAAUUUUAACACGUUGUACCCAUGACAAAACAGGACCUGGCUGUGAGCCUUUAACACCUUUACGCCCAUGUAAAAUAUCG
rnacentral:misc_RNA from 1 species